UACGGAGGGUGCAAGCGUUAUCCGGAUUUACUGGGUUUAAAGGGUGUGUAGGCGAACUUUUAAGUCAGCGGUGAAAUCUCCGGGCUCAACCCGGAAACUGCCAUUGAUACUAUUGGUCUUGAAUGUUGUUGAGGUGGGCGGAACGGGUCAUGUAGCGGUGAAAUGCAUAGAUAUGACCCGGAACACCGAUUGCGAAGGCAGCCCACUAAGCAACGAUUGACGCUGAGGCACGAAAGCGUGGGGAUCAAACAGG
rnacentral:rRNA from 1 species